GACGAACGCUGGCGGCGUGCCUAACACAUGCAAGUCGAGCGAUGAAAUCCCUUCGGGGAUGGAUUAGCGGCGGACGGGUGAGUAACACGUGGGUAACCUGCCUCAAAGAGGGGGAUAGCCUCCCGAAAGGGAGAUUAAUACCGCAUAAUAUUAGUUUUUCGCAUGAAGAACUAAUUAAAGGAGUAAUCCGCUUUGAGAUGGACCCGCGGCGCAUUAGCUAGUUGGUGAGGUAACGGCUCACCAAGGCGACGAUGCGUAGCCGACCUGAGAGGGUGAUCGGCCAAAUUGGAACUGAGACACGGUCCAGACUCCUACGGGAGGCAGCAGUGGGGAAUAUUGCACAAUGGGCGAAAGCCUGAUGCAGCAACGCCGCGUGAGUGAUGAAGGCCUUCGGGUUGUAAAGCUCUGUCUUUGGGGACGAUAAUGACGGUACCCAAGGAGGAAGCCACGGCUAACUACGUGCCAGCCGCCGCAGUAA
rnacentral:rRNA from 1 species